rnacentral:lncRNA from 1 species
CCCCAAAAUCUUCAGUUUUGGAGCUGAGAUUACCGAGAUGAACAUUUCUGUAUGAAACAAAUACCCAAGAAGAAUAAAUCUUUCUAGAGAGGGUGCAUCCUCGAUGAUGAGCUGGUCUAACAAGAUGUCCCCCCAACAAACACGUACACCGAUGCUCCUAAGUGUUGGGGACACAAUACGAAUGCAUUUGCAGCCAAUGCUCUCAGUUAGCAUCAAGCUCUGCAAGAGAGGGCAACCGGCAAGCACGGCAU